UCCCUGGUGGCCUAAUGGCUAAGAUUUGGCGCUUUCGCCGCCAGAACCUGGGUUCAACUCCCAGUCAGGGAG
rnacentral:tRNA from 1 species